rnacentral:rRNA from 1 species
GAUGAACGCUGGCGGCGUGCCUAAUACAUGCCAGUCGAGCGAACGGACGAGAAGCUUGCUUUUCUGAUGUUAGCGGCGGACGGGUGAGUAACACGUGGAUAACCUACCUAUAAGACUGGGAUAACUUCGGGAAACCGGAGCUAAUACCGGAUAAUAUAUUGAACCGCAUGGUUCAAAAGUGAAAGACGGUCUUGCUGUCACUUAUAGAUGGAUCCGCGCUGCAUUAGCUAGUUGGUAAGGUAACGGCUUACCAAGGCAACGAUGCAUAGCCGACCUGAGAGGGUGAUCGGCCACACUGGAACUGAGACACGGUCCAGACUCCUACGGGAGGCAGCAGUAGGGAAUCUUCCGCAAUGGGCGAAAGCCUGACGGAGCAACGCCGCGUGAGUGAUGAAGGUCUUCGGAUCGUAAAACUCUGUUAUUAGGGAAGAACAUAUGUGUAAGUAACUGUGCACAUCUUGACGGUACCUAAUCAGAAAGCCACGGCUAACUACGUG